UACGGGGGGGGCAAGCGUUGUUCGGAAUUACUGGGCGUAAAGGGCUCGUAGGCGGCCAACUAAGUCAGACGUGAAAUCCCCAGGCUCAACCUGGGAACUGCGUCUGAUACUGGAUGGCUUGAAUCCGGGAGAGGGAUGCAGAAUUCCAGGUGUAGCGGUGAAAUGCGUAGAUAUCUGGAGGAAUACCGGUGGCGAAGGCGGCAUCCUGGACCGGAUGACGCUGAGGAGCGAAAAGCCAGGGGGAGCAAACGGGG
rnacentral:rRNA from 1 species